AGAUUGAACGCUGGCGGCGUGCCUAACACAUGCAAGUCGAUCGGUAACAGGUGUAGCAAUACAUGCUGACGAGAGGCGGACGGGUGAGUAACGCUUGGGAAUCUGCCUAUUAGUGGGGGACAACCCGGGGAAACUCGGGCUAAUACCGCAUACGCUCUACGGAGGAAAGCCGGGGACCGCAAGGCCUGGCGCUAAUAGAUGAGCCCAAGUCGGAUUAGCUAGUUGGUAGGGUAACGGCCUACCAAGGCGACGAUCCGUAGCUGGUCUGAGAGGACGACUAGCCACACUGGGACUGAGACACGGCCCAGACUCCUACGGGAGGCAGCAGUGGGGAAUAUUGGACAAUGGGGGAAACCCUGAUCCAGCGACGCCGCGUGGGUGAAGAAGGCCUGCGGGUUGUAAAGCCCUUUCGGUGGGAAGAAAAGCCUCGACCUAAUACGUCGGGUAUUGACGUAACCCACAAAAGAAGCACCGGCUAACUCUGUGCCAGCAGCCGC
rnacentral:rRNA from 1 species